UGCCCUUUCAGGGUGCACUCACCGGCCUUGCUGCUGGGGACGCUGGGCGUUUGCCAGGGCGGCCCUCGGAGCUGCUUCCUCCGUCCUGCGAGGGACAGGGCAAGGGGAGGCCGGGCGCACACCGAGCGCCCGGGCAGUGCCUCUCACUGCCCAGCGCGGGCCCCGCCGGUCACGUGGGCGCGCCCCGCCCACCAGGAUCCCUGGCGCCGGGUCGGUCAGUCCUGGGGCGCAGUGAGUCGGGGAAGCUCCGCGCUCCUCACCCCAAGCCGGUCAGGCGAAGGGUGGAGGGAGGGAAGGACGGGCGCACCUUGCUGGGCGGGGGAUUGGGAGAGGCGGGUGGAGAGGCGUGGCCACCUCGGCCCUUCCUGGCACGGGGAUCAGCGCGGGCACCUAGGAGGCACCUUCCCACCUCUGCAGAGCGAACGCUGGUUCCUCCGCCUCACAGACGGAGACGGACUCAGCAGAGCGCCUGCUGGAGGCUUCGAAUCCGGAGUGGGACUUUGCGCCCAGGGGUCCCCAGCCACGGGGAUCCUGCAGGCAGGACUGGGGCGGGGGAGGCCCUGGGCGAUGAAGACAACCCGGGGUCUCACGUCUGUGGCCCUAUGCGGUCCAGGACACGGGCUGGGAACCGCCCAUCUCCCCGGACUCUGGAGCCAGCCGGUUCCGAGAUGGGGUCCGUGUCCAGGCACCAGGUCCGCUGGCCUUCUGAGUGCCCUGGAUGCUGAGGGAUGGCCUUCCCUCUCGCCCGCCACUUCAUGCAGGAGCUGGAACCGCGUUACCAGCUCUUUCUCUAGGUCUGCAAACACGGAAAGUGCCGGGAUGAAUGGAAGGGCAGAGAUGUCCUCCAGGACUGAUUUCCGGCAUCUCAGGACUGCACCAGACCUGCAGACCAGCACCAGGUUAUCGAACCUUCUGGCCAGGUCCUGCGGGACAGGCAGAGGGGACCAGGCUCAGAUCCUGGACAGAGGCCUUGGGCAGCUCAGCUGCUCCACACUGCAUGCAGUGAGUCCUCCAUGCCGACAGGGGCGGCAGAAUAGGUGAGUGCCCCCCACCCCAGGGGAACUGAGCCCUGCAUUCCUUCUGGGUCACCCACCCUGAGUGCCACCCCAACAUCUCCCGCUUUAGCCGGGGCCCUUCCACACCUGAGGACCUCAGUGAAUGGGCCAAUGGGGUUGUAUCCAACCUUCUCCAGAUGGCUCCCCACCUGUCUGCGAUCCCCCCACCCCCAGACCCUAGUCCUUCUCCAUGCAGUCCUCCCUCCCCUCUGCACCUCUGCCUGGUGCAGAUACUCCCCCACUACCUUCCCUCCCCAGGAUCCCGCACUCCUUCUGGGCCUUCCAGGCCUCCCUCAGAGUGUGUGUGUGACUCUCUGGGCCCUACAAUCCUGACUCUGACCAUCCAGUCUCCAUCCUCUGCCAGGAGACCCUCACCACCAUGUCAACCCAUAAAUGAGCAGGCACAGAAAUCCCGCACCAGACCCCAUCCAACAGUUUGCAUCCACAACAAUGAC
rnacentral:lncRNA from 1 species